GCCGGCGUGGCUCAAUGGUAGAGCGUCUCUUUCCUAAUUAGGAAACUCCAGGAGAAGGUUGUGGGUUCGAGUCCCACUGUUGGUU